GUACUGUCUAACAAGUAUGAGAUGGACAAAUAAAGAAAUGGAAAUAUGUUGGAAAAAAAUGGAUGUCCAUGCCUGGUCGCUUGGUCAAGAGAUCUGCACACCACUUCAAAGGUUUCCAGAUGGGUAAAAUGAACAAUGAGGAAAUUUGUAGUUUGGUGGAUCUUUGGGGAUGAUAUGGAUCGGACUUGACAAAGUUUUUAUUGAAAAGGGAACACCUAAGAUGAAUGAAAUGUGAUGCUGCUGUCAAUCUACCUGUCAGUUCAAGAGGACUUAAAGUACAUAAGUUAUUGAAAGAAUAUAGAUGAAUUGAUUGACAUCUACCUAAAGCAACCACCUGACAGCUACAGUGAGGAGAUAAUUUACCUGUCUGUUGAAGUGAUCUAUUGAUCGUCACACUUCAAAGGGUACAUCCUACCUGUAAUUAGAACCUGUCAAUCAAACUGUUAAUCGGCAGGACAUUUCAUCAUUAUGACCAUGGAAAAUCAUAAGUAUUAGUAUUGUAGGCAAGUUUACAUUGAAAGUGGUUUAUUAGAUUUGGGAUUUCCAAACAUUCAGUGAAUCAAAUUAUGAUAUUUUCUGUAUUAUGAAUACUUGUUGUAAGUCUUUUGAAGUAAAUGAAAUGCAAACAAACUUGUUUCAGGAGCAAUAAA